rnacentral:misc_RNA from 1 species
CAUCACACCACCAACAACACCAAGCACCACGGGAGGGAGAUGGCCCCCGCCAAGGAAUCGAAAUGAAAAAAAAAAUGUGGGAAGGAGCAGGCAAGAACCACGAAGCGGCAGCGGAACCGAGAGACAGAGGCAGGAGCGCAAGAGGACAAGAAGGCAGCUCAGGAUUCUCAGAACGACGGCAACUUGGCGCAUCGCUGCUUGAGGUACACGGAGCAGCCGUCCUUGGGCACGAUGGUGGGCAUGUACACCGGGUCGUCGCACCCGGGCGUCCUCUCCCGCCGGAAGUCCACCACCGACACGAACAGCGCCAUGAACAGGACGAGGUGGUUCAGCGCGUACCGCUGCCCCACGCACUGGUGCGGCCCGGCGCCGAAUGCCAGGAAGUUGCGCCUGUACGCCACGUCCUCCCGCCGCGCCUCCGAGAAGAAGCGCUCCGGGUCGAACGCCUCCGCGUCCGGGAACCCCUGGAACGACGACUCGUACACGGACGGGAACACGAUGGCGCCCUUGGGCACCGUGUACCACUCCGUCAGCUGGAACGCCUCGCCCGCGAUGUGCGGCACCAGCGUCGCGGGGGGCCGGUGCCGGACCACCUCGCGCGCCACCGCCUGCGUGUACCGCAUCCCCUGGAUCGUCUCCGCCGUCAUCGGCUCGCCGGAGUCCGGCGACCAGGCGGCCGACACCUCGGCGCGCACGCGGGCCAGCACCUCCGGGUGGGAGUCCAGCGCCGACACCGCCCAGCAGAGGGACGAGGUGGACGCGUCCUGCGCCGCGAACAGGAAGUCGAACAUGAACCCGCCGAUCUCCUCGUCGUCGGUGUGCGCGGGGGGCGGGCGCCCCGCCGCCGCCGCCUCGUCCAUCUCCCGCAGCGUGUCCUGCAUCCAGAAGUCCACCAGGCACUCGGGCUCGCCGCCGGCGCGCAUCCGCGCCUUGCUCUGCCGCGCGCACUCGCCCAGCGUGCGCACCAGCCGCGCCACGCCCUCCCUGGCGCGCCGGAACGCGAAGCAGGGCAGGUCGAUGGGCAGCGCCAUGAGCCCGACGUUGAAGAGGUUGUAGUCCCGCUCGAACCGCCGCCGGGCCUCCCCGGCGAGGUACGGCCCCACGAACACCGUCUGCGAGGUCUCCAGGUUCAUGUCGCGGCAGGGCACGCGGAUGGGGAACGCCCCGCCACCGCCGCCGCCGCUCCGGUCGAGCCACCGCCGGAGGUGCGCCAGGAUGACGCGCUGCUGGAGCGCGGCGUAGGUGGACAGCGCGCGCGGGGUGAAGUUGGGCGCGAUCCGCCGCCGCAGGUCCUUGUGGUCCUCGCCGAACAUGUAGAUGAGGUUGUGGUCGCCGAACAGCUUCUUGCCGAAGGGGUGGCCGAUGAGGUGGAACGCGUCGGGGCGGACGUUGGCGAACACGCGGUGGGACAGCUCCGAGUCGCGGAUGAACACCACGAACCGCCCCACCAGGAAGUCGGCGGCGAGGCCCGCGCCGGACCGCUUGGCGCGCGCCGCCUGCGCGUCCCAGAACCCCGUCGGGUCGCGGAUCAUGUGCGCUACGCUGCCGAGGAACGGCACCACGAGCGCCGGCCCGGGCAGGGGCCCCUUCUUCCGGUGGUAGGACACCUGCUCCAUCAGGAAGUACAAAGCCACCGCGGCAACCAGGAACGGCGCCGCCGCGCGGAGGUCCAAGGAGCUGGGCAUGGGCACGGGCACGGACAGAGACUGCGCCGCCAUUGCGCUAUGCUCUGGCCAAAGGCUGGCCACGAGCAGCAACCGCCCUAGCCGCCGCCGCCGCCGCCGCUUCUGCUACAGGUCAACCGUGAGGGCUGAGGCUCGUGGGGAGCUCUCUCUCUCUCCCUCCCUCUCCUUUGACGCGCCGCGCGGAUGGUGUUCCAAAGAGGUCUAUUUAUGCGACGCGAACGCGAACGCGAGCGAUGGACUGGAAGGGAAACGAACGAAGGUUGGAGCGGGAAUCUGAGGUCAAAGGCUGGCUGCUGGGAAAGGGAAAGGGAAAUUGCAAGGGAAAAAGGAGGUGGUCUUUUCGCCUGGCUGGCACGGCCGUGGCGGAUUGGCUGAUGGCCGCGGCCCGCCCCGGGGUGGAAGAAAUGAGGCCGAGGAGGACGACGGAGCCGCACGGGGCUCUAUCUAGGUCUAGGUCUAGGUCUAGGCUUUCACGGAAUGAACAAGUGGGGAGGGGGGCGGAGGAGGGAUCGGGAUCCCCAUCCCGCAUCGCAUCCCAGUCGCAGGUUAUGACACGGUCACAGGGUGGAAUGGAACGGCUGACCGCCUAGGUCAGAGAAUUUGGAAGCCUGUUUCUUCCUGACCAAUUUUCAUCAUGCUCGUCUUGGUUUUUUUUCUUUUCUUUUGUUUUUUCAACACUGAAAUUAUGUGACAGGGGAUUGCUUAUUGCCGCUCACAAUUAAGGGCAUGUUUGGUCAACCCAAUUUUUAAU